rnacentral:rRNA from 1 species
UACAGAGGGGGCCAGCGUUAUUCGGAAUUAUUGGGCGUAAAGGGCGCGUAGGCGGCCACGCGUGUCUUCCGUGAAAUCCCUCGGCUCAACCGAGGAAGUGCAUCCGAAACUGCGAGGCUCGAGUAUGGAAGAGGGUCGCAGAAUUCCCGGUGUAGAGGUGAAAUUCGUAGAUAUCGGGAGGAAUACCAGUGGCGAAGGCGGCGACCUGGGCCAAUACUGACACUGAGGAGCGAAAGCCAGGGGAGCAAACGGG